rnacentral:rRNA from 1 species
GAUGAACGCUGGCGGCGUGCCUAAUACAUGCAAGUCGAGCGGACGGACGCGAAGCUUGCUUCUCUGAUGCUAGCGGCGGACGGGUGAGUAACACGUGGAUAACCUACCUAUAAGACUGGGAUAACUUCGGGAAACCGGAGCUAAUACCGGAUGAUAUUUUGAACCACAUGGUUCAAAAGUGAAAGACGGUCUUGCUGUCACUUAUAGAUGGAUCCGCGCUGCAUUAGCUAGUUGGUAAGGUAACGGCUUACCAAGGCAACGAUGCAUAGCCGACCUGAGAGGGUGGUAGGCCGCACUGGAACUGAGACACGGUCCAGACUCCUACGGGAGGCAGCAGUAGGGAAUCUUCCGCAAAGGGCGAAAGCCUGACGGAGCAACGCCGCGUGAGUGAUGAAGGUCUUCGGAGCGUAAAACUCUGUUAUGAGGGAAGAACAUAUGUGUAAGUAACUGUGCACAUCUUGACGGUACCUAAUCAGAAAGCCACGGCUAACUACGUG